ACGUGGAGCCUGAACUCACAACCCUGAGAUCAAGAGUUACAUGAUCCUCCGACUGAGCCAGCCAGGUGCCUCCAUUUACAGUUUUGAUGGACAUGGCCAAACUGCCCUCCACAGAGGCUCUCCAGAAGGUUAUGUCAAGUGUAAGUGAAUUGAAAGGAAGGAGAUAAGAAAGUAAUCAGCUAAAGACAAGACUACGUGGGAGUCCACCUGGCAGACAGGCUAGCCCCACCAGCCCCUGGGGUGGAAGUGGACAGCAGAGUGAUGCACCUUGGGCCAAACCAGCAACAUCCACCCAGCCCCAGGCCCCAGGAGCAAGGGGCAGAUGCCCCACCCUACCACUCCCUACUUCCCACCCCCAAGAGAGCAAAGGGCCAGAGUGGCAAUAAAGGAAGUCCUUCCCCA